rnacentral:tRNA from 1 species
GGACUAUUAGCUCAGAAGGUGAGAGCAGUCGCCUCAUAAGCGAUCGGUCAUAGGUUCGAAUCCUAUAUAGUCCA